CAGUAGCCGCGGUAAUACGUAGGGUGCAAGCGUUAAUCGGAAUUACUGGGCGUAAAGCGUGCGCAGGCGGUUUGUUAAGACAGAUGUGAAAUCCCCGGGCUCAACCUGGGAACUGCAUUUGUGACUGGCAAGCUAGAGUGUGGCAGAGGGGGGUGGAAUUCCGCGUGUAGCAGUGAAAUGCGUAGAUAUGCGGAGGAACACCGAUGGCGAAGGCAGCCCCCUGGGCCAACACUGACGCUCAUGCACGAAAGCGUGGGGAGCAAACAGGAUUAGAUACCCGUGUAGUCCCUGUCUCUUAUAA
rnacentral:rRNA from 1 species